UACGAAGGGGGCUAGCGUUGCUCGGAAUCACUGGGCGUAAAGCGCACGUAGGCGGAUCUUUAAGUCAGAGGGGAAAUCCCAAGGCUCAACCUUGGAACUGCCUUUGAUACUGGGGAUCUCGAGUCCGGAAGAGGUGAGUGGAACUGCGAGUGUAGAGGUGAAAUUCGUAGAUAUUCGCAAGAACACCAGUGGCGAAGGCGGCUCACUGGUCCGGUACUGACGCUGAGGUGCGAAAGCGUGGGGAGCAAACAGG
rnacentral:rRNA from 1 species